CUGUCUGUAGUGGUUUUGAUGUUCCAGAAACAGCUACCUUUCAAAAUCCAGAUAUUUUCAAUGUAUGUUUAUAAUGGUUUGCAUAAAUAUUUUUGUAACAUUAAACUCCUUUUAACAACAUGACUCUGCUCAGUUCUCUUUAGAAUGACAUGCUGGCUUUGAGGAAGUGCUGGUGUAGAAUGUUACUUGAGAACUCCAGCCCCAAGGGGUUUAGACUUUAUUGAGCCAUUAAUGAGAAGACAGAAGAUAAUUAAAGACUUGCACUACGUCUGAAAUGGAAAAAAAAUGUCUUGCUAUUCUGUUCCAUAGCACUGCGUUCUGCAGAUUUCAGAUCUUUACUUUUAGAAGAAACAUCAGCCUUCCUUCUCCAACAUCCAGCACAGGGCACUGAUGAGCAGCAACACAGAAUCCUUCAGCAUCUUACCAAGGCAGAGAAGUGGUGUGCUGAGAACAUUUCUGUGUUCAGGGGGCACAUCUCACUCCCUGCAUUACUGUCAAUGGACAAAGACGACAUUGAGGAGGCCCUUCAGAAAUAUGAGUUGCUAUCUGAGUUUCCAGAAGAAGAU